AUACGUAGGGGGCGAGCGUUGUCCGGAAUGAUUGGGCGUAAAGGGCGCGUAGGCGGCCCGGUAAGUCUGGAGUGAAAGUCCUGUUUUUAAGAUGGGAAUUGCUUUGGAUACUGUCGGGCUUGAGUGCAGGAGAGGUAAGUGGAAUUCCCAGUGUAGCGGUGAAAUGCGUAGAGAUUGGGAGGAACACCAGUGGCGAAGGCGACUAACUGGACUGUAACUGACGCUGAGGCGCGAAAGUGUGGGGAGCAAACAGGAUUAGAUAACCUGGUAGUCCACACUGUAAACGAUGAAUGCUAGGUGUAGGGGGUAUCGACCCCUUCUGUGCCGCAGUCAACACAAUAAGCAUUCCGCCUGGGGAGUACGGCCGCAAGGUUGAAACUCAAAUGAAUUGACGGGG
rnacentral:rRNA from 1 species